rnacentral:lncRNA from 1 species
UCUCUUUACCUUCUUCCUAAAGGAUCUCUCUCCAAAUACAGUCACCCUAGGGCUUCUUUGCAAAUACGAGAGGGACAUCCUGCAGUCCAGAACAGACAUGUCAUAGACAAACCCUCCACUAAAUCAAUAAAAAGGUUGUCCACUGCCUGCUUUUUCCUCCCAAGGAAGAAUUUUAAAAAUUUCAUCAGAUCAACAACAGCUAUGGCAGCAAACAUUUUUCAGCUGAGUCCUGCUGGGAUAACGGCUCUCCCAUGAUGCCAAGCGGCUCUGCUGUGAAGGACAGAAGUGAGGAUUUGCUUACGACAUCCAAAUAUGGUGAAUCCAUUUGCUCCGAGUUGACAAAUGAACUGGAGGUCCCAGGUUUCCUGAUUCAUCGYCUGUUGUCCCCAUUACCACCACCGCGUCUGACUGACUCACUGGUAUCUGCAAAUGUCAUUCCUCAGUCUGGAGACUGAGAUGUUCCACCCCCUCCCCCAUCAGAAGCCUAUUAAUUAUCUAUGGCCACACAAUCAAUCACCCUGAAUCUAAGGGACUUAAGGUAAUCAGUCCGUGUGAUCUCAUGGUUCCUGUGGCUCAGGAACUGAGAGGCAGCUCAGCACAGACAUGUGAGCUCAGGGUGUCCCAUCAGGUGCAGGCCAGCGCUGCAGUCAACUAAGGGUGAUGAGGGACUGGAGAGUCCCCUCUAAGGCAGCUUACUCACAUGGCURGGAAGCCUCAGUUUCUCUCUACAAGUACACACUGGGAAAUCCAUGAGAGUGACGUACAAGUGACCUCCAUCAUGAGCAGAGUCACAUACUGCACCCAAUUUUUUUUUUUUUGGUACCAGGGAUUGAACUCAGGGGCACUUAACCACUGAGUCACUUCCCCAGACCUGUUUUGUAUUUUAUUUAGAGACAGGGUCUCACUGAGCUGCUUAGGGCCUCGCUUUUGCUGAGGCUGGCUUUGAACUUGCAAUCCUCCUGACU